rnacentral:rRNA from 1 species
GACAGAGGUGCCGAGCUUUAGGCGGAAUCACUGGGCUUAAAGCGUGUGUAGGCGGAUCUGUAAGUACCUUGUGAAAUCCCACGGCUCAACCGUGGAACUGCUUGGUAUACUGCGGGUCUUGAGCCACCUAGGGGCAAGUGGAACAAACGGUGGAGCGGUGAAAUGCGUAGAUAUCGUUUGGAACGCCAAUGGUGAAAACAACUUGCUGGGGGUGUGCUGACGCUGAGACACGAAAGCCAGGGGAGCAAACGGG